rnacentral:lncRNA from 1 species
CAUUGACAUCUGCCAACAGUCAAGCUGCCAAAGGCUUCCUACAGGCAAGAGCCAAAUUUUUCAACUAGAUUCUAUUAAGUUUAUACUCCUCUCCAUUUUGUGAUGGCUUUUUGAAGUGAGGUAGGAGAGAAACAUUAUAUUGGUUUCAGCUGUUUUUGAAAGAUUUUUCAAGUGACUGAUUUUAUUAAAAUAAACAUUAAUAAUUAUGGAAUUUUAAAAGACUAACAACUCUUAAAAGCAGCAUAGCUAGAAAAUGGAAUAAAAAAGAACUUUCAAUUAUGCUUCAUAAUGGGUAAAGUCUAUAUAAAAUAUUGUGAUACUUAUAAUCCUCUUUAUAAUCAUCAAAUACAUAUCCUCCAGAGGGAUAUUUUACCUUGUGCGAGUUGUUGCAGAAUGUGCUGGAUCUUGAGUGUGGGAGCCCAGUGUAGGUAUUUCAGACAUCCACCACAAUUGCAAGAAUUCAGAUGGCCUACUCAAUUCUGCCCUAUGUUUACUGGACUGAAUUGUGGCAUCAGAAAGUAUUUGGCUCCUCUCACCAGCCUGCUUACACACUUUUUGAUACCAUGGACCAUUUGGCUUCUUUCUCAUCUCUGCAGGCUCCUAUGGUGGCCUGAGAAUGUUUAGAUAACAAUAAUACACACAGCAAUGCAAAAUAGCUUGCAGUUCUCCAGUCCAAGCCCAACGCCAGUGCCACAUCCAGAAAAAAGGUAAUACAUAAAAAUCAAAGAAUGUGGCUCAAUUCCAGACCUUCUUUAUCUACCUAUCUACUCAGGGUGCUAUUGGCUCAGUUUGGAUCUCUGGAGCUUCUAAAACUGACAGAGGAAUGGUAUUUUUAAACUUUUUAAAAUUGUGGGACCUUUUGGGAAUCUGAUGAAUGCAUCGGAGGCUCUUUUCAGGAAAAGAGAAUGCACAGACACACUACAUUUUCAUUUAAGUUCAUGAUAUUUUCUCUGAUCUCACUACAGCCAUGGAUGCCAAAUAAAGUCGCCAGUCUUUGAGGUUAUUCAGAAAUCCUUCUGUACUGGAUCUGGUUUAGAGGAAAGAGUGGGCUCCUGCGAGUUCCCUGGGUACCGUGUGCAUUCAACUUAUGUUUCUGCACCAGAGUAGUGGGAGGGAUUUGAUAAGCUGUACUAAAGCACACGCGGUAUAUAUAGCAUCAAUCUGAAGCCAUCUGAAGUGUCGUGAUACAUCCACCAUUAAAGAUCUCCAGGAAUGAUGGGAACAUUGCUUUCCUAAACCACUUUAUGGAAUACAUUCAUUUUCCCCAAAAGUUUUUGGGAUAUUUUACAUAGUCAAAUGAUUUGUUUUACUUCCAUUCCUUUCCCUAAAUAUGAUAUGUGGAGGAAGAGAGAGAACAAAAGAAUCUGAAUAAAUUCCAAAUCUGUAAAUUCAUUCUCUGGAUAUAGACUAAGUGGAUUUAAUGAAGAAAUAAGCCAUUGAUGCAAAUAUUGAUGUGGAAAUAACGUUAAGAUUUUCAGCGGAUUCUAGUACAUAUUCUUUUCUACCAAGGGCAAAAACUACAGCAAAAUAAGCUUGGUGUGCACAAUCCUAUUCUGACAGAUGACACUGCCAAAUGCGUGGGCAGAACAAACAUGGAAUUGUGUGACAGAAGAGAGCAGUACUUAGGAGACAGCAAACACAACUAGAGAAGAAGAAGCUGAAAAUGCCACUAAUGGUCUAAGUAAAACCUAAACACAAAGGGAACAGCAUACAUUUAAAUGAUAAGUUAAGGAUGCUUUUCUGUAACUGCCUGACAGCGUAUCCUCUAAAGGAAAGUAGUUACAGAUCAUCACCAUUACAGCUGGUAGGUGGCACAGAGUAGCAAAACAGUCUGCAGUAAAGGAAAAUCAGGCAGGAGCAGGAAAACCCAAAAUAGAAAUAGAAAUAAUGACAAUUUCACCAGAGGACAAAAUGCUGUAACUCCUUUAUUAAACUAAACCUGAAUGUUAACAGUGUGCAUGCAGAGUAGAUGCAAUAGGGAGGCAUUGAUAUUCAAACCACUUGUCAUAGCCACGCUUUAAUCCAAUCAUGACACAAGGGAGGGAAGUAGAGAAAUUAGGAAUGUAUUAGAAGAAACAAGAAGAAUUGGGAAUGUAAAGGAUGACAAGCUUGAACUGCUUAAACUCCUAGCCCUUUCUGCGCAGAAGACUCACAUUUAUCUGUCUGAAACCACUGUGGAAACAUGUUUUACAUACAAAUCACAGACCAGCUAAAGUAAAG